UCUUUUUGCACUGGGCCAUCCGAGCCACAGCUUAAUGGCCGGUGUGGAGGGUAUUGGAGUUCCAGAAAACAGACAAGGACAAGAGAGCCAAAGGAUAAAAAUCUAUCAGAGGUGAAGAAACCAAGGCUCAGAGAGACUUGUCUGAAAUUGAGGAUCUACACAGACUAGGCAAGGUCACAUGGCUAACAAGUGACAGAUCUGGGUUCACAUCUGGGAAAACUGAACCCACUGACUGAGCUUGUAACCAUCACUCCUCAGCUGAAAAUAGGAUCAGAACAGAGAUAGCCUCAUCAAACCAUGGGCAUAAUUUAUGGUCCACUCAGCCAGCAUUUCUCAUUUUAAAAGUUUUAAACCUGAAUUGCUUCUGUCAAAGAGUUAGAAGGGACUCAAAAAUGUGAAACCUUGGAUAGAGAUCAGUGGCAAUUCCAAAAUAUCCUUAUAGGAAGGGUUUGGGAAUAACAAUCUCAUUGAAAUUGGGGGAGGGGGAUAAGGAAUUUUGAAAUUAUCGUAAAGCUAUAUUUUAAUAUGAAGCUCACUGUUUUGUCAAUCAGAUUCUAUUAUUGUGGGCUGCUGAUGGAUAUUAUAAGGGCAUAUUAAAGAAGUAAUCACUAUUCUGCUGGAGGAUAUAUUAAAAAUGUGUAUUUCAUGAAUCUGUAUGUAUGUAUGCCUAUCAUUUUUC
rnacentral:lncRNA from 10 species